CCUACGGGUGGCAGCAGUGAGGAAUAUUGGUCAAUGGGCGGGAGCCUGAACCAGCCAAGUCGCGUGAGGGAAGACGGUCCUAUGGAUUGUCAACCUCUUUAGGCGGGGAGCAAUGCCGGGCCCGCGUGCCCGGCGGGCGAGUACCCGCAGAAUAAGCAUCGGCUAACUCCGUGCCAGCAGCCGCGGUAAUCCGGAGGAUGCGAGCGUUAUCCGGAUUUAGUGGGUUUAAGGGGUGCGUAGGCGGAUUUUUAAGUCAGCGGUAAAAUGUCCGGGCUCAACCCGGGCCGGCCGUUGAAACUGGGGAUCUUGAGUGGGCGAGAAGUAUGCGGAAUGCGUGGUGUAGCGGUGAAAUGCAUAGAUAUCACGCAGAACUCCGAUUGCGAAGGCAGCAUACCGGCGCCCGACUGACGCUGAGGCACGAAAGCGUGGGGAUCGAACAGGAUUAGAUACCCGAGUAGUC
rnacentral:rRNA from 1 species